GAAAUGCGAUACUUGGUGUGAAUUGCAGAAUCCCGUGAAUCAUCGAAUCUUUGAACGCACAUUGCGCCCGCCAGUAUUCUGGCGGGCAUGCCUGUCCGAGCGUCAUUUCAACCAUCAAGCCCCCGGGCUUGUGUUGGGGACCUGCGGCUGCCCGCAGGCCCUGAAAACCAGUGGCGGGCUCGCUGUCACACCGAGCGUAGUAGCAAUCACCUCGCUCAGGGCGUGCUGCGGGUUCCGGCCGUUAAACAGCCUUACAAAACCCAAGGUUGACCUCGGAUCAGGUAGGAAGACCCGCUGAACUUAAGC
rnacentral:misc_RNA from 1 species